CAACCCUCGAACCCCUCCGGGGGGUCGGCGUUGGGGAUCGGCCCUUUCACGGGGGCCGGCCCCGAAAUACAGUGGCGGUCUCGCCGCAGCCUCUCCUGCGCAGUAGUUUACACACUCGCAUCGGGAGCGCGGCGCGUCCAUUGCCGUAAAACACCCAACUUUCCGAAA
rnacentral:misc_RNA from 1 species